UUUCUCUUGUGCGGAUCAGUCCUUGGGCUGGAAUUGAACUCAGGAAGUGAGCUGGUCUGGCCCCAGAGAGUGUCACUGAAGUCGGCAUUAAUGACCUGAGCUGUGCCCACUGCUCGUUAUUCCCCCAACAGAAACCCAGAGCAAGUGUUGGUUUGGUUUGAAGAACUUGACGAACUAUAAAACAAUAUAAAUCAGCCUUCUCUUCUUAUUAUUUCCUUUUAGAUGUUGGAAUUGCCUCUCUGUCCAUGUGCUGAGCUCCGGCUGCAGGGGACUAUCAGGCAUUGUUGGCUAUGGUGGAAUUGCCUCUCUGUCCAUUUGCUGAGCUCCAGCUGCAGGGGACUGUCAGGCUGGAAAAGCCCUGGAGCAAGAGGUGCCCAAAAGCACUGGGGUUUGUGCCCAGCGAAACCUGCGAGUGUCCAGCUUCAAUCCCCCGCGGACUGUCCCCGGCGCGACUUGCCCGGAGCGCUGCCCUCGGCCGGGAGCGUCCGAUCCCGCCGGGAAUGCGGGAGGGGAGACCGGGCGGGACAUCGGCAACCGGGAGCGGGAGGGGCGGGACUGGGAUG